rnacentral:tRNA from 1 species
GGCACAAUGGCUAAGCAUUUGGCUGUUAACUGAAAGGUUGGUGGUUUAAAUCCACCUGGUGGCU